UGUACGUAAUACCCAGCUCUGACUACUUGAUAAAUUGUAUGACGUUGUAGACAAGAUAUCCAUUUGCCCUCCAGAUCUACUCUUCACCCUUCUUCACCCUGCUCUGUAGAGUGACUGGCCCACAUGAUCUUUGACUUCCAGUUGGGUUCGACCAAUAAAGAUCUCCAGCAGAGACUAGAGGAAGAGAAGACAGUGAAGGUGGUGUUAUAAUUGUCCAACUUCAUCCCUGAAAGGUCACACCCCUCUUCUGGGAGACUCCACAUCUCUCUGGAUUGUGUGCUCCCUCCCUGGCCAACAGUCAGGAAUUUGGAAACGGCUUGGCCUGGAAGUUCUACCUUGGAGUCUUUCAUGAGGAUGCAAUGAGAUUUUGCCAGGCCUGCAGUUAUCAGAGCUUCAUCGUUCUCGGCAGGUGUGGAAAGACAGACAAAGUAGGAGGAUCACAGCAGUAGGCUGAAUAUGAGUCACCAGAGAUGCCCACGUCACUCUCCAGACUCUGGGAAUGUUAUCUUACAUCGCAAAAGGGACUUUGUAGAUCCCCUCAUGGAUCCACCAGCCAGACUGAAUGCCUCUCACAUCGUCGAGGGCACCACACUCCUGCCCCAGACCAGACCUUGACAAUUACUGCGAUCUCUGUCUUGUGUGGAAUCCUGUGGCAGGUGAGGGUGGUCUUCACCCAAAUUUCGGAGAUCCUCCCACACCAAGUUUAUGCAAGAUUACAGAUUCUCUGAAUUCUGUGACCUUUAUGACUGUCCUAAAAGGGAUGUCAGAACCAGAAGAUGGGACGAGCCGGAGCUCCUGAAUACCUACAUACCACAGGGAAUCCACUCCCAAACUCUCCCCUACUGCCAGAUACAUUCGCGCAUGGAGCAACAUUCAACUGUCCUCUACGUCUCUAUCCUUACCAACUCAUGUUUAAAAUAGGCAAAGGAAAGUGUGCUAGACUUCAGUUUAAUGAUCUUUGGCUUCUAAAUGGAAUUCUUCCGAAGAGAAUUAGAGGUACUGACAUUAAUCAAUCAAUCUGCAUGUGCCCUGGGGUCAGGGUUCUACAGAGACUAUGUUGCGUUUUCUCUUGGCCCUCAGGCAUUAUGGUCAAAAUUAGUUCAGCUUGUUACUACUGGUACUGAUUCCCAGGUCUGAAUCCCUGGAAAGUGGGAGUUGAUUAUUUCUCUAAGAGUAAUUUUCAUCUCUGGAACGUUAACUUUUCCACCCUCAUUCUCCUGAGAUAUUUAUUUAUUUAUUUGUUUGUUUGUUUGUUUAUUUUUGAUCUAUAUAUGGUGUCUGUGUUGUUUGCUUGCUUAUUGAUUUAUUUAAAUAAAGUGUGGUUUGCUUUUUUAACUCUGAAGUUAUGGGGGGAGGAUCAAGGAGCAAUGAGAUUGACAAAUUUAUUUUUGCUCAUCUGAUGUGGUCCAUUAACUUAUGUCAGUAACAUUCAAUCUAAAAACUUACUGGAAAAAAAUAUUUGUGGAUAUUUAUGUACUUGGGAUAGGUAAGGUCUUUCUUGGUAUUAUCACUGAAUAGAAGGCUAAAGGAGAAGAGUGAUAGAUCUAAGUACAUUAAAUUUAAAAACUUACAGGGUCAGGGCGCCUGGGUGGCUCAGUCGUUAAG